AUUGAACGCUGGCGGUAUGCUUUACACAUGCAAGUCGAACGGACUAAAGAGCUUGCUCUUUAGUUAGUGGCGAACGGGUGAGUAAUAUAUCGGAACAUAUCCGGAAGUGGGGAUAACGUAGCGAAAGUUACGCUAAUACCGCAUAUGCCCUGAGGGGGAAAGGGGGGGAUCGCAAGACCUCUCGCUUUCGGAGUGGCCGAUAUCGGAUUAGCUAGUAGGUGAGGUAAAGGCUCACCUAGGCGACGAUCCGUAGCUGGUCUGAGAGGACGACCAGCCACACUGGAACUGAGACACGGUCCAGACUCCUACGGGAGGCAGCAGUGGGGAAUUUUGGACAAUGGGCGAAAGCCUGAUCCAGCCAUACCGCGUGAGUGAAGAAGGCCUUCGGGUUGUAAAGCUCUUUCAGCCGGAAAGAAAUUGCUUCUAUUAAUACUAGGAGUAGAUGACGGUACCGGAAGAAGAAGCACCGGCUAACUACGUGCCAGCAGCCGCGGUAAUACGUAGGGUGCGAGCGUUAAUCGGAAUUACUGGGCGUAAAGCGUGCGCAGGCGGUUUUUUAAGUCAGAUGUGAAAUCCCCGAGCUCAACCUGGGAACUGCAUUUGAAACUGGAAGACUAGAGUAUAGCAGAGGGGGGUAGAAUUCCACGUGUAGCAGUGAAAUGCGUAGAUAUGUGGAGGAAUACCAAUGGCGAAGGCAGCCCCCUGGGUUAAUACUGACGCUCAUGCACGAAAGCGUGGGGAGCAAACAGGAUUAGAUACCCUGGUAGUCCACGCCCUAAACGAUGUCAACUAGGUGUUGGGGGAGGAGACUUCCUUAGUACCGUAGCUAACGCGUGAAGUUGACCGCCUGGG
rnacentral:rRNA from 1 species